UACGUAGGUGGCAAGCGUUGUCCGGAAUUACUGGGUGUAAAGGGCGUGUAGGCGGGAAUGCAAGUCAGAUGUGAAAUUCCGGGGCUUAACUUCGGAGCUGCAUCUGAAACUGUAUUUCUUGAGUGCUGGAGAGGAUAGUGGAAUUCCUAGUGUAGCGGUGAAAUGCGUAGAGAUUAGGAGGAACACCAGUGGCGAAGGCGGCUAUCUGGACAGUAACUGACGCUGAGGCGCGAAAGCGUGGGGAGCAAACAGG
rnacentral:rRNA from 1 species